GUUUCUCUGUAUUCCAACUUCUCCUCCUCUUUGUUCACUGUUCACUCUCCAGUCUCCUCCACCUCCUUCAAUUUCUUCAUUAGCAGAUUCACCACCACCACUCUUCAUCAGCAGAUUCAAUCCUCACCACCAUUAUCGUAACCAGCAACAACAAUCUGUAUCACCUUAAUCAAUUUCGAUUCGAUUUGCGUUCCAAUUGUCGAUUUGAACCAGGUACAUCUGUUUUACUUACAUCUCACUAAGACUCAUUUAAAUUUCCAUUUGCAUUCCAAUUUUAGAUUUAAAUACCAUCAGAAACACCAUCAUCACUAGCAGCACCACCUUCCCCAGGUACAAAAGCGUUCACUUUUUAUAUUCUUUUUUCUUAAUUUCAAUUUCGUUCGAACGCACCACCCAACGAUUUAUUCAUGCCAAUUUUGAUUCCAGCGCCACCUACCUCCACCUCCAUCAAUUUCAAUUCAUGCCAAUUUUGAACCAAAAGCAGAAACAAAUACAUAAAAUUAGAAUUCUUAAAUCUGAAAAGGGUAUUGAUUUUAAUUCGAGUUUUGGAGAGCAGAUUGAAAAGGGUAUGAGCUGAAUUAGGGUUCUACAGGAAUUGAGACGAGAAGUAGAUGAGAAGAAGAGUUCAUGAUUGAAUCUCUGAAAUUCGAUAUACGAAGUAAAGGGUUUGAUCAGAGAUUAGAAGAUGAGAAUCGAACAAAAGUUGUAGGGAUAUUGGGUUCAAAUCUAAAGUAGUAAUGGGUUGGAAGUCAGAGUGAGAAAUGGGAAUCGCAGGUUGAUCUGAGAUAGUGCACUGCCUAUUGUUCUAAGCUUGUGUUAAAUUCAGUAAUGGUGAUUUGAAAUUGUCAAUUGAGGUUCUGGUGAGAAUAGUUGCAGCUGGAGCUACAGGGAGUGAUUGAUUGAUGUUGCAGGUGUUUUGAGUUGAGCUUUACAGGCAGUUGAGAUGCAGUUAUUGGUUUGGAUGUUGUUGUUUUCAGCUAUGAAGCUACAGGGUUGCAGUUGAAGAUAGAGGAGUUAGGCUGUGUUGUAGUCAGGGAAUGUGCAAAAUGAAUGUGACUGCAGGCAGAAUGACAAUGGCUUACUGUCUUGAAGUUAGCUCUGAGAUGUUUGGAUGGUUGCAGUUGAAGUUGUGAAAGAGAUGGUGCAGGACAGGUCUGAACAGUGCAGGUGUAGUGGCUCGGGUUGCAGUUAUGAAGCCGUUGUUGUUGAAGUUGAGAUGAAGAAUGAGAAGGUGAUGUUGAAGUUGUUGCCUAGCAGCUUCCCACAAAGUUGCGAAAGACUUUAUGUUGGAUUUGCAGAGUGGAACGCUGGACAUUGGCCCAGGUGUAAGUCCAAGAUUAGCAAGCAAAUCAGGAAACAGAAGUGAUCCUAACUCUGAGGAUGAAGCAGAAACUGGCAGCAAAAGAAGAAGACACGGCAGAGGACCUGCGAGAGAGAAUGACCUUCUUUCAGCGUUAUUGCACUAGCAGAUGCAUAUUUUUCAACCUUGCCAGCCAUCACCAAUUCCUAAAUCAAAAGCGUAUUCGCUCCUAGCAAACUUCCUGCAAGACGAUCUAGACUUGUGGUGUGUAACCUUAUGUCUCGGUCUGAUUGAUAUGCAAACUAUAGUGGAUGGAGGGAAGCAUAAAGCUAAGGCUUGUGGAGGAGGAGAAACCCGAACUUCCAGCCAAUAAGGAGUCAUCAAGUUUGCCAAGAUUCUAUAUGGGCAUCUCGAAGCUGUAGGUACUGAAUUUGCUUACAUUUAUUUAUUUGUUUCAGAUGUUUAAAGCUUCGAUGGUAGGGCUUUCGGGUAUGGAUGAAUUUAACGAGGAUCUCUUACUUUCAGAGGAAAGAAAUCUAUUUUUAACAUUUGUUUGCGGUGAUGGAAGAGUAUUGAUUUGCUCAUGUGUUCUUGUAAUGAGUAUGUGACAUAAAGGAACCUUGGCUCUGGCACUAGUGGACAUCAACUGGAAGUUUUGACCUUACUGACUGCAUGCAUCUUAAAGAAGUGGAAGUGGGUCAAGUUUUGG